GAAAACUCAUAAUUCCAUUAAACAGCACAGUUCAAGAAAGGCCACCAAUGCCGGUAAUCACCUACUUCAGUUUCCACUUGCCCCUGGAAUUUUAUGUUGAUUGUCUGUAAAUUAAUCAUGUUUCUCCUAUAAAUUGGACAAUAGGUCAGAAAUGAACUCAGUGGAAAAAUGCCGAGCAUCAAACCAACUGUAAGGAGUACUUGAAACUAUUAAAAAACCAAUCAUAUUCCAUGACCAGGCAGCCAUAUGACAUUUUUCUUACCUUCCGUUGUACAGGCACUUAGGUUUUAUGGGAGUUUUAACGUGACAGUCACGGGCAUAACAAUUCAAAACAGUCCCCAAUGCCAUCUCAAGUUCGAUAAUUG
rnacentral:lncRNA from 1 species